rnacentral:lncRNA from 1 species
CUUUAGUAUCUCCCCACUACAGUGCGAGAAAAGUCAGGGCAAAGGAUUGAAAAGAAGUUCACAACAAAAAAGUUUGAACACAAGCAAACCUGAAACAGAUGCAGGGUAGUAGAUCUUAAGGGUGCGUUGCUCACUCCAGGGCCUGCUGCCACCCAGAUGGCUGGCAAACACCAGGACUCCGAACACAACAGGAUUCAGGGAUUCAGACAGGAGUCUUGCUCUACCAAUUAUUAUAGGAUCUUAGGUAAGCUACUUUCUUGCUAAAACUUAGUUUCCUUAAAUCCAAAGUCAGGGUAAAACACCUGACAUAAUUACCUUAGGGGAUGGUACUGAAACAAAAAGAUAAAGAUGUAGGAGCACUCCUUGCAUUCUGACUUCUUUAUAAAUAUACUUUUUAUCUUUAUCUUUGUACACGUUUAAAAGAAUCACAGCACUAGGGAGAUAGGUUUUGCUAUGGGAAGGAACAUGAAUUGGAAGUCAGAAAAUGUGGGUUUGAAACCUAAUUCAAGUAGUAACUUCUACUAUAGGCCCAUUGGUGUAAUAGCCACUUAGGAGGCAGAGAUGGAAAAAUCACUGGGGCUUCUUCAUUUUUACAACGAAAAAUGUGUCUAGGUAAUGUCCACUAAUAUCCAGUCACUCAAUGCAAGAGUUUUAUAAACUCCUGCCCUGUGGAACUAGAGCUGAGUCAUGUGGUUCGCUUUGGACUAUAAACAUGGGUGGAGGUGAUAUUGAGAGGUGACAGUGUGCUGGCAGUCCUCAGAGCCCUCGCUUGCUCUCCGCACCUCCUCUGCCUGGGCUCCCACUUUGGCGGCAUUUGAGGAGCCCUUCAGCCCACCACUGCACUGUGGGAGCCCCUUUCUGGGCUGGCCAAGGCUGGAGCCCACUCCCUCAGCUUGCAGGGAGGUGUGGAGGGAGAGGCGCGAGCGGGAACUGGGGCUGCGUGCAGUCCCUUGCGGGCCAGCUGGAGUUCCGGGUGGGCGUGGGCUUGGCGGGCCCCGCACUCGGAGCGGCCGGCCGGCCCUGACGGCCCCGGGCAGUGAGGGGCUUAGCACCCGGGCCAGCCGCUGCGGAGGGUGUACUGGGUCCCCCAGCAGUGCCAUUCCACCGGUGCUGCGCUCGAUUUCUCGCCGGGCCUUAGCUGCCUUCCCGCGGGGCAGGCCUCCGGACUGCAGCCCGCCAUGCCUGAGCCUUCCCCCGCCUCCAUGGGUUCCUGUGCAGCCUGAGCCUCCCCGACGAAUGCCGCCCCCUGCUCCACGGCCCCCAGUCCCAUCCACUGCCCAAGAGCUGAGGAGUACGAGCGCAUGGCACGGACUGGCAGGCAGCUCCACCUGCAGCCCCGGUGCGGGAUCCACUGGGUGAAGCCAGCUGGGCUCCUGAGUCUGGUGGGGACAUGGAGAGUCUUUAUAUCCAGCUCAGGGAUUGUAAACGCACCAAUCAGCACCCUGUCAAAACAGACCACUUCGCUCUACCAAUCAGCAGGAUGUGGGUGGGGCCAGACAAGACAAUAAAAGCAGGCUGCCCCCAGCCAGCAGUAGCAACCCGCUCGGGUCUCUUUCCAGGCUGUGGAAGCUUUGUUCUUUCGCUCUUUGCAAAAAAUCUUGCUACUGCUCACUCUUUGGGUCAACAUUGCUUUUAUGAGCUGUAACACUCAUUGGGAAGAUCUGUAGCUUCACUCCUGAAGCCACCAAGACCACGAGCCCAACGGGAAAAACAAACAACUCCAGACGCGUUGCCUUAAGAGCUGUAACACUCACCAGGAAGCUCUGCAGUUUCACUUCUGAGCUAGCGAGACCAUGAAUCCACCAGAAGGACAAAACAAUGAACACAUCUCAACAGCAGAGGGGACAAACUCCAGACGUGCCACCUUAAGAGCUGUAACACUCACCGCGACGGUCCGCGGCUUCAUUCUUGAAAUGCCUUUCCAGUAAAGCUAACAAAAAACAAAACAAAAUAAAACCAUAUCCAAAAUACUAAACAGCUGUCUCCAAGAUCAGAAGGCAUCAGAAAAGACCCUCAAGAGUUGUCUAAUCCCAGAGGAAGAUCUUAAGUGGGGAUGUGCUCACAGCAGAAACCUUGGAAAUUUCAGGGAGUGAAAUUUUAUUGUCAGAACUUUCAAUAAAAGUGUAGCCACAGAUCCUGGGAGCAUUAAAUAAAAAUUACCAACAAGCUGUCUUACCUGUGUGCACUCCACUGAAAGGAAGGGCAAACAUGAGCAAGGAGCUCUUGUACAUCAGUCAAAAUUCUGACAGCUACCCUGUGAAGUUUGACGGGCUGCCAUGUGCUAGACUACCUAAGAUACUCUUAACUGAACCAUAAAAAGACAAAUAAAUUAGUAAUUGUAUCCCUCCUGUCAAUGUCCUUUUUCGUGAACUUCUCAAGGUGUUGGUUAACAUUGUCUGGAAUGAUUUAUCAAUAUAUUCUUAGCUUUCUUAGGAAACACAGAUAGACUUGAUUUUUUCCAAAUUGUUUUUUGAAUUGAUUUAAGAAAAUGAUACAGAUAUUGCCAAUUGCUG